UUCCCUUCUCUCCUUCUUUCCUCUCUUCUCACUCUCUCUUUCGGUCUCCCUCUCCGCCAGCACCGCCGCCGGCUGGAAACUGCCGCUGCUGUCGUCGGGCUGCCGCCGCCGCUGCGCCGGCCGCCGUCGCCGUCGUCGCUCGGGAGAAAUUAAGAGGGGUUGAAAAGGAGCCAAGAAGUGUCGUUGUUUGCCGGAUUUCGCCACCACCGCCGGAUGCUGUCGCCGCCGCCGACCCGGCGCUGCCUCUGUUGCUGACAGAGGGCAGAAACUCCAGCCAGGUCCAAACCAUUGAAGGGGAAACAGAUAAACAAAUUUCUGUUAGGAGAAAGCAUAGAGACAGCGUUGAGCCACUUUUUUUAUGCUAGCCUAUAUGCGCAAGGUCAAAUGAGCCCUUUAUGCUAACCAGGCCACUUUUCACAUUCACAACGAGUUUAUGAGUUUUCUAGAGAAUCGGUCCACCUAGAGCUCAAAUGCGUUUCCAAUUCCCCCCCCCCCCGGCUUCGUCAGGAAUAAGUGGUAGCGUUUACUCAUCUAGCCUUGUUAGCAUUGGAAUGGGUGCUAUGCCCUAAACACCGGAAAUUGGCUCUGACGAUAUAGAACCUGUUGGAUCCCAGAUUCCUUCUAGUUCCUUCAUCUCACAUUUCAAUUGGCGAUGGUCCACAAACUCUUGAAAACGACAUCAUUCCUUCAUUCUCUCUUGCUUUGGCUAGCUACUGAUGGAACCUUCCAGUUAUGCAAAAGAAACUGGAAAUGCUGCAUAUCCUACUAAUGCAACUCUGUCUUCCUAGCAUCUUGGGACUAAUGUCUGUGAGCCAUUUAUGUACCAUACUAUCUCAGAGAAGUAUACAAUGGAAUGGAGGGUAGCGUAUUACUGCUCCUAGCCAAUUUUGGCCACUUUGAUAUUAAGUGUCUCUCAGUUCAUACUAAAGCCGUCAAUGAAGAACUACUGCAAAAUCUGUCUGAUGCUCUACGCUUGACUGUACCUGAUAAAAUUGGAGUUGAUCUUGCUUUGUCUAAAACUGACGAUCACGAUAUCAGGAUGUGUGGAAAGAAUUUUUCUUUGAGUCAGAUUAAAGAGCUGUGUGCCUAUCUAUUGCAUUUGAGGCGACUGAGAUGAUUCAAAAUAUGCUCGUGUUACACUUAGUUGAUCUAACGGCUAAGCAUUCAGAUUCAUUCUUGCAAAUGUUAGCUCUUGUGCAACUAAGGUGCUUUCCGUGAUAGUUCCUCGUGCAAAAAUAGACUAGAAUUUCUUAGUCAAUCUGAAGGCCAAGGCCCAACUACGUGGAGAUCACUUCUUCAGUUUAAAACGCGCCGCGCAGGUGGAAGAGCAAGAUCUGGGGACGGCGGCCCGGUGGGGGCAAGUCGUAUGGCGGUAGGGGGAGACUUAGUUCUUAACUUAUAAGAAGCCGGGGGAAAUGGCUCUUUCCCAAGUACUUCCUAGAUAUGUUUCUUUUUUACUUUGGCAUUCGGUUUGCUGUACCUGCAUUAAAAAAGAAAUCAUGGGCCUUGGAAGCUGGAUGAGCACUCAAUUAGUGUCUAGUAAAGAUGCUUUGUAUGAGGAAUAGAUCAUGUUUCUGAAGGAUGUUCAGGACCUAUCUCCUAGUCACAUUCAAUCUUUGGGUUCACUUUUGAAUAUCUUUCUGGUUGUGUGUAAGGCUGCGUAGCAAGUAGAACUCAGUCCCGUGUUGAGAGCACUACUUCAGUGUUGAUAAGUUCUAGAGAUGUCCCCUGUUCUUCUUCAGUGAGGGACUAUUCCCGGAGUUGUCCAGGUUUUCGCUUCCUGUAUAGGGGUGUGAUCCUGGCACCACCCCUUACUUGCUUUCGACCCUAACAAGAAUCACUAACAGAGUUGACAUCGAUGAAUGGAAUCCAUCCACUGAUACACAUCUUCCUUGAUUGAUAACCGCUCUGCAAAUGUUGUGAUGCACUCAAAAUUUUAAAUAUCAUUUCCAGCUUUUUUGUUUGUCUACGACAGUUAGAUCAUCUAUCGAGGGACCGAAUUUGCUUUAGAUUGCAAACUUGAGUUUGCUCAUACUGCUCAUCGAAAUUCUGCUGCUGUUCAUUCCUGGUUGAGUGUAAGGCUGCGUAGCAAGUAGAAGUCAGUCCCGUGUUGAGAGCGCUACUUCAGUGUUGAUAAGUUCUAGAGUAUCCCCUGAGCUUCAACAGUGAGGUGUUAUAGCUGUAACCAUUACUCGUAGGAUUUUUAUGCUAGAGCACUUUGAGCACAAACUUUUGCAGGAACUAACCCGGAGUUGCCCUGGUUCUCACUUCCGGUAUAGGGGUGUGAUCCUGACACCACCCCUUAAUUGCUUUCUACUCAAACAAGUAAGUAUUCUAUCCUCUUUACAUUUUUUGUCCUUCACAUUGAGGGUAAUGUUUAGAAUAGUUUUGAGGUGUGGGUGUCUGCGUGCAUUCUUCUUUUUGGGGUUGUAAUUUAUCCUAUUUGUGUGUAUAUGUAAGGUUUUCUCUCUAUUAAUUGUCACCCGAAACACUUUUUAAUGGUUUAUUAGUGUAGACUUAGUUCUCUCAAGGGUUGGAGAACUAAGAUUCCCUAAUUUAAAACACCUUACUUACUUAUAUUUUAAUAUGUGAAAAUGAAUUUGUGCUGCUGAACAGGACAUGCUGCUGAACAAGACCAAGUACAUAUAUUUUCUAUGGUCGCUUGAAAUUUUCUCUGUGGUGAACGUGGAGUCUGUUGAUGUUUUUUUCCGUUGAAUGGGAUUUACUUUUUAAAUCAAUAAUACUAGCAAAUAACUGAUAUAAAAACAUUGGUAAAGGCUUGUGUUAAUUUAGUCCAUUGAGCAUGGGUUUGGAAUUCAUAUUGUUUGUAUUUUGUCCUUGUUGCCUUUUUUAACCUUGUUUACAUGCAGUCCAAACCAGUGAUGGGGAAUAGAUCAACAACUUUCUAUUAGGAGAUAGCAUAGAGACAGUGUUGUGCCACUUUUUUUAUGCUAGCAUUUAUGUGCAAGGUCAAGUGAGCCUUUUGUCCUAAGCUAGGCCACCUGUCACAUUCACAAAAUGAGUUUAUGAGGUGAUUCCGGACAAAUUCUAGGACAUCUAAGUUGAUUCAGGAAAGAAUCGAUCCAUCCAGAGCUCAAAUGCAUUUCCAGUUUGCCCCUCUGCUUCGUCAGUGGGUGGAUUUUCCUGGAAAUUUGCAUCUCUACUUCUGACCAAAUGAGUGUUAGCACUGGAAUUGGUGCUAUUCCCCACACACCUGAAAUUGGCUCUGACGAGAUGGAUCCUGUUGGAUCCCAGAUUCGUACAAGGAUAAUAUUUCCGAUGAUGACUAUAUAAUUUCAAAAGCUGGGCUCGGUCUAGAAGUGGGAAUGAUGUCAAUCCUACAUGGAGUUAAGGAGGAGCUAACUUCUAAAGGAGGCAAGAUGAGGGAAGAAAUACCUAACUUCCCAUGCAAACAAGAGAGUAUUUUGUUUCCCCUCACAUUUUUUUCCUUCACAUAAAGGGCAAUGUUAAGAUUAAGAUUUGGGGUGAGGGUGUUUGUGUACAUGCUUGAUUAUGUGGUUGUAAAUAAUUUUAUUACUCUAUCUCCGAUGUGUUGAUUCUGAAGGACCCUUUUUCUGAAGUGUAUAUAACGAUGCGAAUACUAAAGAAGUUAUGUGUUUUAAAUAGCAGGACUAUGCCAUGGAGCCCGAUGAGAAACUUAUGCGAAAUGCAGCACAUUAGAUGGUAGCAAGGUUGGCAGGAACUCUUGCUAAUGUAACUUGUUAGUAUCAAGCCAACUCAGAAGGUCACUUCAGGGCUUGGCCAUAGCAAAGGAUCUUCUGGAGCAAUCAUUUUAGCGGGUGACUAAUGGAAUCACAUGCAGCGAUGAUACCGAUGAAUGGAAUCCAUCCACUGAUACACAUCUUCCUCGAUCGAUAGCCGCUCUGGAAAUGUUGAGUGCAAGGCUGCGCUGCAAGCAGAACUCGGUCCGUUGUUAAGAGCGCUAUUUCAGUAUUGAUCAUGUUCCAGAGAUGUCCCCUGAUCUUCAACAAUGAGUUGUUAUAGUUGUAACCACUAAACGUUCUCGCUUCUGUUAUAGGGGUGUGAUCCUGGCGCCAUCCCUUACUUGCUUUCUUACUCAAACAAUCCAACCCAUUUAUGGGGAAAUAGAUCGAUUACUUUCUACUAGAAGAAAGCAUAGAGACAGUGUUGUGCCACUUUUUUUAAUGCUAGCCUUUAUGCUCGAGGUCAAACGGAAGCCCUUUAUCCAAAGCCAAGGCACAUGUCACAUUCACAACGAGUUUAUGAGAAUCGAUCCACCCAGAGCUCCUAAUGCAUUUCCAGUUCGCCCCUCGGCUUCAUCAGGAGCUGGAUUAUCCAGGCAAUUUGCAUCACCACUUCUGACCAAAUGAGUGCUAGCAUUUACUCAUCUGGCCUUGUUAGCACUUGAAUUGGUGCUAUGCCCCAUACACCGGAAAUCGGCUCUAACGAGAUAGAACCUGUUGGAUCCCAAAAACUAAAAGGAAUCAAAUUAGUAAAAUUCCGGUGAUCAUUUUUCAGUUCGCUCAUCUCAUAUUUCAAUUGGCGAUGGUCCACAAACUCUUGAGUUUGGGAGGGGCUAAUUUAUAAAGGAAUCAAGAUGAGAGAAGAAAUACCUAACCCCAUCACCUAACUUCCCAUGCAAACAAGGGAGUAUUUUGUUUACCAUGCAAAUAAUUAGAUUACUCUAUCUCGUUGAUUCUGAAGGACCCUUUUUUCCAUAGUAUAUAUAACAAUGCAAAUGCUAAAGAAGUUAUAUGUUUUUAAAUGGCAGGUCUAUGCCACGGAGCCUGUUGAGAAACUUAUACGAAAUGCAACACAUUUGUAGUAGCAAGGUUGAAAGGAAGUCAUGCUAAUGUAACUUGAAGGUUGAGUGUAAGGCUGCGUAACAAGCAGAACUCGGCCCCGUGAUGUGAGCUUUACUUCAGUGUUGAUCAAGUUCUUGAGAUGUCCCCUUUCAACAGUGAGGUACUUACCCUGGAGUUGCCCUGGUUCUCGGUUCCGGUAUAGGGGUGUGAUCCUAGCACCACUGCUUAUUUGCUUUCUACGCAAAAAAAUAAGUAUUCUAUCUCCCUUUACAUUUUCUUGCCCUUCACAUUGAGGGCAAUGUUUAGAAUAGUUUUGAGGUGUGGGUGUUUGCGUGCAUUCUUCUUUUUGUGGUUGUAAUUUAUCGUAUUUGUGUGUGUUUGCAUGGUUUUUUCUCCAUUGAUUGUCACCAGAAACACUUUUUUAUGGGUUAUUAGUGUAUACUUAAGGCUUGGAGAACUAAGAUUCCUUAAUUUAAAACACCUUAUUAAUAUUUUAGUAUGUGAAUGAAUUUGUGCUGCUGAACAAGGCUGAACAAGACCAAGUACAUUUCUUAUAUUUUCUAUGGUUUUUUGAUAUUUUCUAUGUGAUGAACAAGACCAUGUACAUUUUUUAUAGUUUCUAUGAUCUCUUGAUAUUUUAUAUGUGGUGAACAUCGAUAACUUGCUACCCCACAUAUUAAUUUGUAUUUAAGUUGGGUAUGCACUGUUAAGUAUUUGUUUACUUA